GGUGGCUCAGUGGUAGAGUGCUUGCCUUGCAUGCAUGCAUCCCUGGGUUCGAUUCCUCAGCACCA
rnacentral:tRNA from 1 species